UACGUAGGGUGCAAGCGUUAAUCGGAAUUACUGGGCGUAAAGCGUGCGCAGGCGGUUUUGUAAGUCAGAUGUGAAAUCCCCGGGCUUAACCUGGGAAUGGCGCUUGUUACUGGCAGGCUAGAGUGUGUCAGAGGGAGGUAGAAUUCCACGUGUAGCAGUGAAAUGCGUAGAGAUGUGGAGGAAUACCGAUGGCGAAGGCAGCCUCCUGGGAUAACACUGACGCUCAUGCACGAAAGCGUGGGGAGCAAACAGG
rnacentral:rRNA from 1 species